rnacentral:rRNA from 1 species
CCAGACUCCUACGGGAGGCAGCAGUGAGGAAUAUUGGUCAAUGGGCUUACGCCUGAACCAGCCAAGUCGCGUGAGGGAUGACGGCCCUACGGGUUGUAAACCUCUUUUGUCGGGGAGCAAAGCGAGUCACGUGUGACUCAUUGAGAGUACCCGAAGAAAAAGCAUCGGCUAAUUCCGUGCCAGCAGCCGCGGUAAUACGGAGGAUGCGAGCGUUAUCCGGAUUUAUUGGGUUUAAAGGGUGCGUAGGCGGUCCGUUAAGUCGGCGGUAAAAUUGCGGGGCUCAACCCCGUCGAGCCGUUGAAACUGGCAGACUUGAGUUGGCGAGAAGUACGCGGAAUGCGCGGUGUAGCGGUGAAAUGCAUAGAUAUCGCGCAGAACUCCGAUUGCGAAGGCAGCAUGCCGGCUCCACACUGACGCUGAGGCACGAAAGCGUGGGUAUCGAACAGGAUUAGAUACCCGGGUAC